UGGGGAAUCGUUGCGCAAUGGGCGAAAGCCUGACGCAGCCAUGCCGCGUGAAUGAUGAAGGUCUUAGGAUUGUAAAAUUCUUUCACCGGGGACGAUAACGACGGUACCCGGAGAAGAAGCCCCGGCUAACUUCGUGCCAGCAGCCGCGGUAAUACGAAGGGGGCCUAGCGUUGCUCGGAAUUACUGGGCGUAAAGGGAGCGUAGGCGGACAUUUAAGUCAGGGGUGAAAUCCCGGGGCUCAACCUCGGAAUUGCCUUUGAUACUGGGUGUCUUAAGUGUGAGAGAGGUAUGUGGAACUCCGAGUGUAGAGGUGAAAUUCGUAGAUAUUCGGAAGAACACCAGUGGCGAAGGCGACAUACUGGCUCAUUACUGAC
rnacentral:rRNA from 1 species